rnacentral:rRNA from 1 species
AACGCGAAGAACCUUACCAGGACUUGACAUGGAGGAGACGCGUACAGAGAUGUACGUUCCCGCGAGGGCUCCUUGCACAGGUGCUGCAUGGCUGUCGUCAGCUCGUGUCGUGAGAUGUUGGGUUAAGUCCCGCAACGAGCGCAACCCUUAUCUCCAGUUGCUACCAUUUAGUUGAGCACUCUGGCGAAACCGCCUCGGAUAACGGGGAGGAAGGUGGGGAUGACGUCAAGUCCUCAUGGCCUUUAUGUCCAGGGCUACACACGUGCUACAAUGGCCGGUACAAACCGCUGCAAACCCGCGAGGGGGAGCUAAUCGGAAAAAGCCGGCCUCAGUUCGGAUUGGAGUCUGCAACUCGACUCCAUGAAGCUGGAAUCGCUAGUAAUCGUGGAUCAGCAUGCCACGGUGAAUACGUUCCCGGGCCUUGUACACACCGACAUA